rnacentral:tRNA from 1 species
GCGGAUGUAGUUUAGUGGUAGAACCUGAGCUUCCCAAGCUUAUAGUGUGGGUCCGAUUCCCAUCAUCCGCUCCA